rnacentral:rRNA from 1 species
AGAGUUUGAUCAUGGCUCAGAUUGAACGCUGGCGGCAGGCCUAACACAUGCAAGUCCAGCGGUAGAGAGGUGCUUGCACCUCUUGAGAGCGGCGGACGGGUGAGUAAAGCCUAGGAAUCUGCCUGGUAGUGGGGGAUAACGCUCGGAAACGGACGCUAAUACCGCAUACGUCCUACGGGAGAAAGCAGGGGACCUUCGGGCCUUGCGCUAUCAGAUGAGCCUAGGUCGGAUUAGCUAGUUGGUGAGGUAAUGGCUCACCAAGGCGACGAUCCGUAACUGGUCUGAGAGGAGGAUCAGUCACACUGGAACUGAGACACGGUCCAGACUCCUACGGGAGGCAGCAGUGGGGAAUAUUGGACAAUGGGCGAAAGCCUGAUCCAGCCAUGCCGCGUGUGUGAAGAAGGUCUUCGGAUUGUAAAGCACUUUAAGUUGGGAGGAAGGGCAUUAACCUAAUACGUUAGUGUUUUGACGUUACCGACAGAAUAAGCACCGGCUAACUCUGUGCCAGCAGCCGCGGUAAUACAGAGGGUGCAAGCGUUAAUCGGAAUUACUGGGCGUAAAGCGCGCGUAGGUGGUUCGUUAAGUUGGAUGUGAAAUCCCCGGGCUCAACCUGGGAACUGCAUUCAAAACUGUCGAGCUAGAGUA